GAGUUUGAUCCUGGCUCAGGAUGAACGCUGGCGGCGUGCUUAACACAUGCAAGUCGAACGGGAAAUAUUUCAUUGAGACUUCGGUGGAUUUGAUCUAUUUCUAGUGGCGGACGGGUGAGUAACGCGUGGGUAACCUGCCUUAUACAGGGGGAUAACAGUCAGAAAUGGCUGCUAAUACCGCAUAAGCGCACGAGAGGACAUCCUCUUGUGUGAAAAACUCCGGUGGUACAGGAUGGGCCCGCGUCUGAUUAGCUGGUUGGUGAGGUAACGGCUCACCAAGGCGACGAUCAGUAGCCGGCUUGAGAGAGUGAACGGCCACAUUGGGACUGAGACACGGCCCAAACUCCUACGGGAGGCAGCAGUGGGGAAUAUUGGGCAAUGGGCGAAAGCCUGACCCAGCAACGCCGCGUGGGGGAAUGAAGGUCUUCGGAUUGUAAACCCCUGUCAUGUGGGAGCAAAUUAAAAAGAUAGUACCACAAGAGGAAGAGACGGCUAACUCUGUGCCAGCAGCCGCGGUAAUAC
rnacentral:rRNA from 1 species